UUUACAUGUUCUUGUUGGUCUGGAGCAGUUGUUUGAGGAAGACACUUUAAAUUGCUGAAUACUCCAAUGACUCAGUAGAUAAGUUGGGCCCACAGCAAUAGGCAUAACAGGCUUCCUUAGUCGGUUGACCAAUUGCUGCUUCCAAAAGCUUUCCGUAGGGCAGUCCUUGACAACGUACUUUUUUGUGGAGUUAAUGAAUCUGAGAUUUCAUUUUUGUUCUCACUUUCAUCCCCUUUAAUCUCACAUGUAUAGUUUUUUCGUUGCAGUAUAAAGGAUAACUUCUGAACAAGUUCAGCCACCUUAUCUG
rnacentral:misc_RNA from 1 species